UGUAGGACCCAGGCGGCGGGGGCUCCUCGCUGCAAACGGAAAACCCGCCACCUGUCCAGGGUUUGCUGGCAGCAUAGAGAGCAGUUUACUGAGGAUGAGAUAGGAGGAUGGUGCUGAGGAGGCCAAGAAGAUGCCAAGCAUUAACGAUCAGGGGGCCGCAGUGCAGUCGCGACGCUAAACGUCGAUUCGUCUUGCACUACUGCAAGCAGCAUUUCAAAAUCCACGCUGGUCCGGACGCUAUGGACGUGUCCGACUCUAAGGACCAG